UUUUUAUUAAAAACAUAAUACUAUGAUAUUUACCACAAUUAAGGAAUGUGGCCAACCUUUUCAAGCUGAGAAGUAACAGAUCGCCAUA